GUGGGUGUAGCUCAGCGGUAGAGCCCCGGAUUGUGACUCCGGUGGUCGUGGGUUCGAACCCCAUCAUCCACCCCA
rnacentral:tRNA from 2 species